AGCCUGAACGCUGGCGGCGUGGCUAAGACAUGCAAGUCGCACGGUGUAGCAAUACACAGUGGCGAACGGGUGAGUAAUGAAUCGCUAAUGUACCCCGGACUCUGGGAUAGCUACCCGAAAGGGUAGGUAAUACCAGAUGAUAUGCAGCUGUCGCAUGACAGUUGCCUCAAAGGUCCGCCGGUCUGGGAGCAGGCGAUUUCGUAUCAGCUUGUUGGUGAGGUAACGGCUCACCAAGGCGACGACGCGUAGCCGGACUGAGAGGUUGGCCGGCCACAUUGGGACUGAGACACUGCCCAGACUCUACGGGGGCUGCAGUAACGAAUCUUCCGCAAUGCACGAAGUGUGA
rnacentral:rRNA from 1 species